UACGUAGGGUGCUAGCGUUGUUCGGAAUCAUUGGGCGUAAAGCGCGUGUAGGCGGUUAGUUAAGUCAGAUGUGAAAUCCCUGGGCUCAACCGAGGAAGUGCAUUUGAAACUAAUUAGCUAGAGAGUGGUAGAGGAAGGUGGAAUUCCGUGUGUAGAGGUGAAAUUCGUAGAUAUACGGAGGAAUACCGGUGGCGAAGGCGGCCUUCUGGACCACUUCUGACGCUGAGACGCGAAAGCGUGGGGAGCAAACAGG
rnacentral:rRNA from 1 species